rnacentral:rRNA from 1 species
UCCAGACUCCUACGGGAGGCAGCAGUGGGGAAUAUUGCACAAUGGGGGAAACCCUGAUGCAGCGACGCCGCGUGAGUGAAGAAGUAAUUCGUUAUGUAAAGCUCUAUCAGCAGGGAAGAAAAUGACGGUACCUGAGUAGGAAGCCCCGGCUAACUACGUGCCAGCAGCCGCGGUAAUACGUAGGGGGCAAGCGUUAUCCGGAUUUACUGGGUGUAAAGGGAGCGUAGACGGCAGCGCAAGUCUGGAGUGAAAUGCCGGGGCCCAACCCCGGAACUGCUUUGGAAACUGUGCAGCUAGAGUGCGGGAGAGGUAAGCGGAAUUCCUAGUGUAGCGGUGAAAUGCGUAGAUAUUAGGAGGAACACCAGUGGCGAAGGCGGCUUACUGGACCGUAACUGACGUUGAGGCUCGAAAGCGUGGGGAGCAAACAGGAUUAGAUACCCUGGUA